UACGUAGGGGGCUAGCGUUGUCCGGAAUCAUUGGGCGUAAAGAGCGUGUAGGCGGUCCGGUAAGUCCGUUGUGAAAGUCAGGGGCUCAACCCUUGAAUGCCGGCGGAUACUGUCGGGCUAGAGUCCGGAAGAGGCGAGUGGAAUUCCUGGUGUAGCGGUGAAAUGCGCAGAUAUCAGGAGGAACACCAAUGGCGAAGGCAGCUCGCUGGGACGGUACUGACGCUGAGACGCGAAAGCGUGGGGAGCAAACAGG
rnacentral:rRNA from 1 species